CAUGUGUUAUACAAAAUAAAUGA
rnacentral:snRNA from 1 species